GUUUUGGAGUGCAGGCGUGAAUAGUCCUUUCUGUCCUGCUUUGAGUACUGCUGUUGGGUGCCUUGGGGGGACCUUAAGGGAGCUCGGAAGUUGAGACGUGGUGAGUGCGAGAUCACUGCCCACAAAGGGGAGGAGCAGGCGGAUGAACAGCCAGAGCUGCAAUGGUGGAUCCUCCUCCAGGGCUGCAUGGGACGACAGAUAGAUGAGGCUCUAGGACGGGCACAAAUGCUACCCGAAUGCAAACCACUCCGGAGAUCUGUAAAAGGACUGGCCCCGGACAGGAAGCACACUUUAAACUAGAGGCGGGAGUCAAAGCCCCGGUGAAGAUUCUGUGACGGUUCAUUGUAUAAUUUAUGAUGAUGAAGAUUGAGUUGCAUUUUGCGGAAAAGAGAUGUUGAGAUAUCUAAGGCAUUGAGAAAUCUGUCAUGCAGACAUGCACACAGGGAGAGGGAGUACCCAAACUGAUGAGAACUUACAGGAAUUGGACCAUCUAAGCCCUUAGAAAGUGAAGUCCACUGUGUCUCAAACAAAGAUCUUCAUCCACAUCUUGAAGUUUGAAGUUUGGCCAAGAAUAUACAAAAUAGAUUCUCUUUCUCAGGAUGGCAAGUGUUCAUGACAUCAAUACUACCCAAGGCUUCAGAGUCAUUGGAUUGCAGGUGUCUCUAUGGUUUCAAUUCAGCACUAUUCCAUCCAUCUUUUGGCAGAGUCAGAGCCCCGGUGAAGAUUCUGUGAGAGUUCAUUGUAUUGAAUUUAUGAUGAUGAAGAUUGAGUUGCAUUUUGCGGAAAAGAGAUGUUGAGAUACCUAAGGCAUUGAGAAAUCUGUCAUGCAGACAUGCACACAGGGAGAGGGAGUACCCAAAAUGAUGAGAAGUUACAGGAAUUGGACCAUCUAAGCCCUUAGAAAGUGAAGUCCACUGUGUCUCAAACAAAGAUCUUCAUCCACAUCUUGAAGUUUGAAGUUUGGCCAAGAAUAUACAGAGUAGAUUCUCUUUCUCAGGAUGGCAAGUGUUCAUGACAUCAAUACUACCCAAGGCUUCAGAGUCAUUGGAUUGCAG
rnacentral:lncRNA from 1 species